UGGGGAAUUUUGGACAAUGGGCGAAAGCCUGAUCCAGCAAUGCCGCGUGUGUGAAGAAGGCCUUCGGGUUGUAAAGCACUUUUGUCCGGAAAGAAAUCCUUGGCUCUAAUACAGUCGGGGGAUGACGGUACCGGAAGAAUAAGCACCGGCUAACUACGUGCCAGCAGCCGCGGUAAUACGUAGGGUGCAAGCGUUAAUCGGAAUUACUGGGCGUAAAGCGUGCGCAGGCGGUUUGCUAAGACCGAUGUGAAAUCCCCGGGCUCAACCUGGGAACUGCAUUGGUGACUGGCAGGCUAGAGUAUGGCAGAGGGGGGUAGAAUUCCACGUGUAGCAGUGAAAUGCGUAGAGAUGUGGAGGAAUACCGAUGGCGAAGGCAGCCCCCUGGGCCAAUACUGACGCUCAUGCACGAAAGCGUGGGGAGCAAACAGGAUUAGAUACCCUGGUAGCCCACGCCCUAAAACGAUGUCAACUAGUUGUUGGGGAUUCAUUUCCUUAGUAACGUAGCUAACGCGUGAAGUUGACCGCCUGGGGAGUACGGUCGCAAGAUUAAAACUCAAAGGAAUUGACGGGGUCAUAGCUGUUUCCU
rnacentral:rRNA from 1 species